UUUUUUUUUUUCUUCUUCUUUUUUUUAAAAACACUUCUGUGGGUUGGAUCAGCUCAUUGUGCAGGUUUACUCUCAGUUGAAGUCAGUGAAGGCUCGCAACGUUUUGGGUUUCUCCCCUGGACUCCUGGCUCUCAUAGUUUGGUUCCACUUGAGAGGUGAUGGUAGAAACUCGCGUUAAAAACACUGAAUGGACUUGAACCGGGAGAUGCGGGAUUUAUUCAAAGUUGAUGGCGUGAAUCUGUGGAGUGCAGACAGACUCUCAGUCACAUAGAAAUACUCUGCAGGCCUGUGUCUGAACCUGCAGGCCAUCAGGUCAGCAGAGACACACACAAACACACACCACCUCCUGCUCUUGAGGAUCACAGACCGGGUCAUGGCAAAGCUUCAUCGCUCCAAAGUUACAGCAGGAGGAGGAGGAGGAGGAGGAGGCGGCAGUGGAGGAGGAAAAAGAGAAGCAGAGUGGGUGGAAGGAUGGAAGGAGAGAAGGAUAGAAGCAGUUCGAGGAGGUGGUUCGAAGCGGGUGAACCCAGAGCAGGUGAACACAGCUGUGGAUCGCCAUGGGCUCUCUGGCUGCCUUCCUCCUGUGGCCCCGGUGCUGCAUACAGGGGUCCCGGGGAGCCGGCAGGGGCCAGCCAAAGCUGCGGCAGAGUGGGCAGGCUAGGCCAGCCAAGCCAGGAGAAAGGCAGGUGAGGCGGGUGAGCCGAGCUCUCAUCCCCGCCGGCUAGGAGCCUCCGCGGCAGAGCGGAGCAGCGCGGAGCAGCAGAAAUCAAUACAGAGGAGAGAGGCUAGCAGAGGUUGCCCAGCACCGCCUGCAGGCCUCGGAGCCCAGGGACCAACCACCACCACUGCUCCCAGCUUCUCUCUCCAUCUCUCUUUCUAUCUUUCUCCAACAGUCCCAGCAUCAGCCAGGGCCAGGGCCCUAACCCUGCAACCGCCCCACACGCAGUGUGUGUGUCAGUAGGUGCACAUGUGUGUGUGUGUGUGUGUAAAAUAGAGAGAAAAAGGGAGAGGGAAGAGACAGAGCGAGAAAGAGAGAGAGAGAGAGUCUUUGUGUGUGGUUCAGCCGGAGGGGUUUUUGCUGCGUCCAACACCACUUGAUAAAACUUUGUCAGAAAGACACAGAUACAGCGAGGGAGGGAGGGAAACGGAAGAAGAAUAAGACAGGACGUCGAAGGUCUCUUUUCUUCCAGCUCCCUCCCUCUUAUUACUAAUUCCGCCUUAACUGUUUGAAUAAGGAUCCAUCGGAGAUGGCGCCCAGGACGUUUUCCUCAGCCUCAGUCCUACUUCCAAGCACGUAGCUCACAAUAUUCCUAAGAUCUCAUGAGCCAGGAUGAAAGGACAAUAUGAACUUUUUCUCUCAUCCACUGUAUCAGAUACAACCUGUCUUUUUCGCCUUAGAUUUUCUUACCCUUGCUACAGCAGCUCCCAUCAGAGGAUAUGGCAGUGCAGUAUUGAUCUAUAAGGUGGAAGAGAGGAAGGCGGGCCUGAGCUUUCAUACCUCUCUCUCUAUAUAUGUGUGGAAAUAGCACCUGAAGUCCACUUACUGCUGUGCAGCAGGGGUCCCAUGGCAGCACAAGUGAAUGGCUGCUAAUUGAAUGAGAGAUGAAAAGGACAGUAGUUGUAUCCGUUCGGUACUUGCCCACGUCCCCCUCCUGUCUGACACUACUUGAUUUUUCAUCUGACGUUUUUUUCUCCUCCACAUUCCCCGCACGACGAGACCUGCUCUUCAGAUGUUUUAGCAAAUUGGUGAUGACUAAAGAAAAAAAAAAAUCCCGGCAGAGACAUCCAGGCUUUGUGAGGUCAUGCCACAAAACGUACUGUACUGUGCACAUUUGUGGACUCGCAAGGACGUUACAGGACAGAUGGGAGAGAGAGUUUUCAAGCGUGAAAACUUAACCGAGAUUACGACUGGAUUCAUACCGCUCGAUGUCAGCCAUGGAGAU